rnacentral:rRNA from 1 species
CGCCUCUUGAAAUAAAUAAGAGGUCCAGCCUGCCCAGUGACCCUGUUCAACGGCCGCGGUAUCCUGACCGUGCGAAGGUAGCGUAAUCACUUGUUCUUUAAAUAAGGACUAGUAUGAAUGGCACCACGAGGGUUGUACUGUCUCCCGCCUCCAAUCAGUGAAAUUGAUUUUCCCGUGAAGAAGCGGGGAUAAAAAUAUAAGACGAGAAGACCCCAUGGAGCUUAAAACAAACGGCACCUAUUAACCCUUAACAAGUUAAACACUCUGACCGCUAGUUUUCGGUUGGGGCGACCACGGAGAAAAACCCACCCUCCAUGUUGAACGACCUAGUCUAAGCUGAAAGUCACCACUUUAAGCAUCAGCACCCUGACAUUCAUUGACCCAAUAUAAUUGAUCAACGAACCAAUGUUACCCUGGGGAUAACAGCGCAAUCUACUUCAAGAGCCCUUAUCGACAAGUGGGUUUACGACCUCGAUGUUGGAUCAGGGUACCCCAGUGGUGCAGCCGCUACUAACGGUUCGUUUGUUCAACGAUUAAAAACCCU